rnacentral:rRNA from 1 species
GAUGAACGCUGGCGGCGUGCCUAACACAUGCAAGUCGAACGAAGCACCUUACCUGAUUCUUCGGAUGAAAGUUUGGUGACUGAGUGGCGGACGGGUGAGUAACGCGUGGGUAACCUGCCCUGUACAGGGGGAUAACAGCUGGAAACGGCUGCUAAUACCGCAUAAGCGCACGAGGAGACAUCUCCUUGUGUGAAAAACUCCGGUGGUACAGGAUGGGCCCGCGUCUGAUUAGCUGGUUGGCAGGGUAACGGCCUACCAAGGCAACGAUCAGUAGCCGGCUGGGAAGGAGGACCGGCAACAUUGGAACUGAGACACGGCCAAAACUCCUACGGAAGGCGGCAGUGGGGAAUAUUGCACAAUGGGGGAAACCCGGAGGCGGCACGGCCGGGUGAGUGAAGAGGUAUUUCGGUGGGUAAGCUCUAUCAGCAGGGAAGAUAAUGACGGUACCUGACUAAGAAGCUCCGGCUAAAUACGUG